rnacentral:rRNA from 1 species
UACGUAGGGCGCAAGCGUUAUCCGGAAUUAUUGGGCGUAAAGAGCUCGUAGGCGGUUUGUCGCGUCGAAUGUGAAAACCCGGGGCUCAACCCCGGGCCGCAUUCGAUACGGGCAGACUAGAGGUUCGGUAGGGGAGUCUGGAAUUCCCGGUGUAGCGGUGAAAUGCGCAGAUAUCAGGAGGAACACCGGUGGCGAAGGCGGGACUCUGGGCCGAUACUGACGCUGAGGAGCGAAAGCGUGGGGAGCAAACAGG